AUUGAACGCUGGCGGCAUGCCUAACACAUGCAAGUCGAACGGUAACGCGAAGAGCUUGCUCUUUGGCGACGAGUGGCGGACGGGUGAGUAAUGCUUAGGAAUCUGCCCAGUAGUGGGGGACAACAUUCGGAAACGGAUGCUAAUACCGCAUACGCCCUACGGGGGAAAGCGGGGGAUCUUCGGACCUCGCGCUAUUGGAUGAGCCUAAGUCGGAUUAGCUAGUUGGUAGGGUAAAAGCCUACCAAGGCGACGAUCCGUAGCUGGUCUGAGAGGAUGAUCAGCCACACUGGGACUGAGACACGGCCCAGACUCCUACGGGAGGCAGCAGUGGGGAAUAUUGGACAAUGGGCGCAAGCCUGAUCCAGCCAUGCCGCGUGAGUGAUGAAGGCCUUAGGGUUGUAAAACUCUUUCACCGGUGAAGAUAAUGACGGUAGCCGGAGAAGAAGCCCCGGCUAACUCCGUG
rnacentral:rRNA from 1 species